rnacentral:rRNA from 1 species
ACGAACGCUGGCGGCGUGCUUCACACAUGCAAGUCGAACGGAAGGGCCCUGCUUUUGUGGGGUGCUCGCGUGGCGAACGGGUGAGUAACACGUGAGUAACCUGCCCUUGACUUUGGGAUAACUUCAGGAAACUGGGGCUAAUACCGGAUAGGAGCUCCUGCUGCAUGGUGGGGGUUGGAAAGUUUCGGCGGUUGGGGAUGGACUCGCGGCUUAUCAGCUUGUUGGUGGGGUAGUGGCUUACCAAGGCUUUGACGGGUAGCCGGCCUGAGAGGGUGACCGGCCACAUUGGGACUGAGAUACGGCCCAGACUCCUACGGGAGGCAGCAGUGGGGAAUAUUGCACAAUGGGCGGAAGCCUGAUGCAGCAACGCCGCGUGCGGGAUGACGGCCUUCGGGUUGUAAACCGCUUUCGCCUGUGACGAAGCGUGAGUGACGGUAAUGGGUAAAGAAGCACCGGCUAACUACGUG